CAGAGUUCUCGCCCUCGCGGGUAGAUCUCCCACCCCGUGCUAUUAUUGCUACCGUGUUGCUUUGGCGGGCCGCCGGGCCCAGCCCGGCCGCCGGCUCCGGCUGGCGCGCGCCCGCCAGAGGCUCCGCAAACUCUAAAUGUCAGCGUCGUCUGAGUACUAUACAAUAGUUA
rnacentral:misc_RNA from 1 species